GGGGAUUUAGCUCAGUGGCAUAAGCAUCUGCCUUGCAAGCAGGCGGUCGUGUUUGAUCCCCG
rnacentral:tRNA from 1 species